CGAUAUCGACGUAGUUGAUCAGUGGCUCAGAACGACGCUGGCGGCAGGCCUAACACAUGCAAGUCGAGCGCCCCGCAAGGGGAGCGGCGGACGGGUGAGUAACACGUGGGAAUUUUCCUCAAGGUACGGAACAACUCAGGGAAACUUGGGCUAAUACCGUAUGAUGCAGAGAUGCCAAAGAUUUAUCGCCUUGGGAUAAGCCCGCGUCAGAUUAGGUAGUUGGUGGGGUAAUGGCCUACCAAGCCUGUGAUCUGUAGCUGGUCUGAGAGGACGAUCAGCCACAUUGGGACUGAGACACGGCCCAAACUCCUACGGGAGGCAGCAGUGGGGAAUCUUGCGCAAUGGACGAAAGUCUGACGCAGCCAUGCCGCGUGAAUGAUGAAGGUCUUAGGAUUGUAAAGUUCUUUAGCCUGUGACGAUGAUGACGGUAACAGGAGAAUAAGCCCCGGCUAACUUCGUG
rnacentral:rRNA from 1 species